rnacentral:rRNA from 1 species
ACGGAAGGCAGCAGUGGGGAAUAUUGCACAAUGGGCGAAAGCCUGAUGCAGCGACGCCGCGUGAGUGAAGAAGUAUUUCGGUAUGUAAAGCUUUAUCAGCAGGGAAGAAAAUGACGGUACCUGACUAAGAAGCCCCGGCUAACUAUGUGCCAGCAGCCGCGGUAAUACAUAGGGGGCAAGCGUUAUCCGGAUUUACUGGGUGUAAAGGGAGCGUAGACGGCAUGGCAAGUCUGAAGUGAAAGCUCAGGGCUCAACCCUGGAACUGCUUUGGAAACUGUCAAGCUAGAGUGCAGGAGAGGUAAGUGGAAUUCCUAGUGUAGCGGUGAAAUGCGUAGAUAUUAGGAGGAACACCAGUGGCGAAGGCGGCUUACUGGACUGUAACUGACGUUGAGGCUCGAAAGCGUGGGGAGCAAACAGGAUUAGAUACCCUGGUA